CGGCGCGGGGGAGGCGGGGGAGCAGGCCAGGGGGCAGGCGCGUGCGGCGGCGCGUGCGCGCGGGCGGCGGAGCCGUCGGGAUGUCGCGUUACGGCCGCUAUGGAGGCGAGACCAAGGUGUACGUGGGCAACCUGGGCACGGGCGCCGGCAAAGGCGAGCUGGAGAGAGCCUUCAGCUAUUACGGACCGCUGAGAACCGUGUGGAUCGCCAGGAACCCGCCGGGGUUCGCCUUCGUGGAGUUCGAAGACCCGCGGGAUGCUGAAGAUGCUGUCCGUGGACUUGACGGGAAGGUGAUCUGCGGCUCCAGGGUCAGAGUGGAAGUAUCCACAGGGAUGCCGCGUCGCUCCCGCUACGACCGGCCCCCUGCCCGUCGCCCCUUCGACCCCAACGACAGAUGCUACGAGUGUGGUGAGAAAGGCCACUAUGCCUAUGACUGUCACCGCUAUAGCCGGCGAAGGAGGAGCAGGUUUCUUCGUUUGAGUCAGUCGCCUUGAUUCAGAAUGUCACGAGCCUUAAGAUUUCAUGCUGAGGCGCCUUGCAAAUCCGACACUUAAGAUCCUCCUAGACCUUGAGGUGAUCAGCAUAAGAGGCCAGAUCCCCUCGAGCCAUCUACACGUAGCUUCACCUUAUUCUUUAAGGGCAGAAAAUUUGAGACGGUGACCGCCGUAACAGUAAAUUUGGCUUUCAAUUGGGGCCCCCCUCCGGUUUAGAAAGAGGAACACCAGAUUGACCACAUUCCCACCUAGAAAAAUCUUCUUGCGUCAAUCAAGCCUCACCCUGGCUCAUUGGGCUGUCAGUUUGAUCGUCGUUAGAUUGAAGAGAACACCUACCUAGAUGCAGCGCUCGCCUAUAGAUACUUCUAGAUCGUCUAGAUCUGCUAGACCUUGGGCCAAAGAGGGUCGACCUGCAAACUUGCAAGGUUUAUUUUAAAUACGCAUUACAGUGUUUUCUAUUCUAAUGUAAUUCUGCAAUGUAAUUCAGCUUUUAACAUUUUUCUAGGUAGUAAAAAUGCUCAAGACAAGUAGGCCCAGACAUUUUUCCAACUGACAGAUGCUAGUUCUUUAGUUGUCUGAAAAAAGUUUUGACUUCAGCAGGGCCUCACACGUGCUGGUUGCUGCAGCUGUCUGCUGAUACCAGUUUUUUCUAACCUAAACCCAGGUCCCGGUCUAGGUCCCGCUCGAGGUCCCGAGGGAGACGGUAUUCCCGGUCACGCAGCCGCAGCCGUGGUAGGAGGUCCAGGUCAGCUUCCUAUCGUAGGUCCAGGUCCGUGUCUCCUCGUAGGUCUAGGUCCGUGUCUCCCCGCCGAUCCCGGUCGGGUUCCUUGAAGAGAUCAAGGUCUAGAUCAAGAUCCAGAUCUAGAUCCAGAUCUGUUACAUGGCCCCGAAGCAGGUCUAGGUCUCAUGGCAGAUCAAAGUCUGGCUCGCCAGCUAAGAGCCGGUCAAAGUCCCGGUCACCAUCUCCAAAGAGAAGCCGUUCACCAUCAGGAAGCCCUCAACGAAGUGCAAGUCCUGAAAGAAUGGAUUAAAGUUAUGAAGUUAAUCUUUUAGGAAGAAAGUUAUUUUGCUUACAUUAUUAUAAGGGAUUUUGUGGUGUCUUUGUAAAUGUAAGAAUGUAGAUAGAAGAGUAUAUCAACUAAAAUUUGGCAUGAUCUGGGUCUUCUGAGUUAGUCACACCAAUAGACUAGCACAGGUCUCUUUUUAUUGUAUGAAUUAACUUCCUGUGAUAUGAAAAUGUGGGACUUUUUUAUUGGCACAUUGAAAUAAAAUGUGUAUUUUUAACUAAAA